rnacentral:rRNA from 1 species
CCUACGGGUGGCAGCAGUGAGGAAUAUUGGUCAAUGGACGAGAGUCUGAACCAGCCAAGUCGCGUGAAGGAUGACUGCCCUAUGGGUUGUAAACUUCUUUUAUAUGGGAAUAAAAUGUUCCACGUGUGGGAUUUUGUAUGUACCAUAUGAAUAAGGAUCGGCUAACUCCGUGCCAGCAGCCGCGGUAAUACGGAGGAUCCGAGCGUUAUCCGGAUUUAUUGGGGUUAAAGGGAGCGUAGGUGGAUUGUUAAGUUAGUUGUGAAAGUUUGCGGCUCAACCGUAAAAUUGCAGUUGAAACUGGCAGUCUUGAGUACAGGAGAGGUGGGCGGAAGUCGUGGUGUAGCGGUGAAAUGCUUAGAUAUCACGAAGAACUCCGAUUGCGAAGGCAGUUCACUGGACUGCAACUGACACUGAGGCUCGAAAGUGUGGGUAUCAAACAGGAUUAGAUACCCUAGUAGUC